AGAAAUAUUUUUCAAACUUCAAAAAGAGAGCAAGAUAAAUUGACAAUGAUCUUUAAUAUUUUUGUAGGAAGAUAUGGAGAAUUCUGAAAUAGCCAAUAAUAAUAAUAAUAAUAAUAAUAAUGAAAAAUAAAAUAACACAUUAUAAAUGUAUUGGAAUUUUGACAGAAAAAGGCUUUGUCAAUGAAUGUAUGUGUGUAUAUAUAUACUCGGCAUACCUAAAAUAUCAUACCUUGACAAACUUGUAAUCUUGAAUUUCUAAAAAUGAACUAUAUCAUAAAAAUAGAUUAAUUCAUUUUCAUUUUGAAUUCAUUAAAAAUGAGUGAACUUUGAUAGUAGAGAAAACUGAAAAACUGUUAAUAUUCUCAGCAAUCAUAACUUUAAAAUGAGUUUGCAAACAUGAAUUAUUCACAGUAACAUUAUAUUAUAAUAAUUAUAUAAAAGUGCAAUAAUUUGGGGAAAAUAAUUUAGUAAUAGAUCUGUUGCUUAUAAAAGUUCCUUCGACUUGAUUUCCAAACUGUUAGGUAAUUCUUUAUAUUAAAUUAUUUUUUAUUGAUAUUCUAAAAAAAGCAUGUUUUUUAAAUGAUAAAAAGCUGUAUUGAAUAUUUUAGAAAAAAUAUGGUAACAUUUAAAUAAGACAAAUGUUCUAUAAUAUUUGUGGAAAAGAAAUGAAACGCAUUAGAAUAGUAAUUCAAGAUUUCGAGAAAUUUUGGGAACCAUGAGAUUAAUUAGCAAAAAAUAUCUUAUUGAUCGUCUAAGAAGAAAAUAAUAAAUUUAACUCGAAUAACACCAUCCAUAAUAGAAAACUUUUAAAAAAUCUGAACCUUAUUCAAAUGAUCUUUAUACCUAAUAAAACCUAUUUUUUUUUUACUUCUUCAAUAAACUUUAUUGAAUGUUCCCAUGAAGAUUAUCUUGGUUCUUCCACCACAUUUUUUAGAUUAAUUUGAAUAAUUCUUUGCAAUGAUU
rnacentral:lncRNA from 1 species